rnacentral:rRNA from 1 species
CCCUUAGAUGUUCUGGGCUGCACGCGUGCUACAAUGGCGCUUGCAACAAGUCUUGCCAACCCGAUGGGGUGAGCGGAUCUUUGAAGAGGCGUCGUGAUCGGGACAGUUGAUUGCAAUUAUUCGACUCGAACGAGGAAUUCCUUGUAAUCGCGAUUCAUCAUAUCGCGCUGAAUACGUCCCUGCCCUUUGUACACACCGCCCGUCGCUCCUACCGAUUGAGCGAUCCGGUGAAUGUUUUGGACUGGCGUCAGAAGCGGUUCGCUCCUGACACUACGAAAUUUUGUAAACCUUAUCGCUUAGAGGAAGGAAAAGUCGUAACA